rnacentral:rRNA from 1 species
GUGCCAGCCGCCGCGGUAAUACCGGCAGCACGAGUGAUGGCCGAUAUUAUUGGGCCUAAAGCGUUCGUAGCCGGCCGGACAAGUCCGUUGGGAAAUCUGCGCGCUUAACGCGCAGGCGGCCAGCGGAAACUGUCCGGCUUGGGGCCGGAAGACCCGAGGGGUACGUCCGGGGUAGGAGUGAAAUCCUGUAAUCCUGGACGGACCGCCGGUGGCGAAAGCGCCUCGGGAGGACGGACCCGACGGUGAGGGACGAAAGCCAGGGUCUCCAACCGGAUUAGAUACCCCAGUAGUCC